rnacentral:rRNA from 1 species
AUCUGAUWGAGUUUGAUCAUGGCUCAGAACGAACGCUGGCGGUAUGCUUAACACAUGCAAGUCGAACGGGUGUAGCAAUACAUCAGUGGCAAACGGGUGAGGAAUAUASAGGAAUCUCCCCAGCAGUAAGGAAUAACUUUGGGAAACCAAAGCUAAUGCCAUAUAUCACCCUYCGGGGGAAAGAUUUAUCGCUGUUGGAUGAGCCUSUAUCGGAUUAGCUAGUUGGUGAGGUAAUGGCUCACCAAGGCAAYGAUCCGUAGCUGGUCUKAGAGGAUGAUCAGCCACACUGGAACUGAGACACGGUCCAGACUCCUACGGGAGGCAGCAGUGGGGAAUAUUGGACAAUGGGCGCAAGCCUGAUCCAGCAAUACCGCGUGAGUGAUGAAGGUCUUCGGAUUGUAAAGCUCUUUUAGUAGGGAAGAUAAUGACGGUACCUACAGAAAAAGCACCGGCAAACUUCGUGCCAGC